UACGAAGGGUGCAAGCGUUAAUCGGAAUUACUGGGCGUAAAGCGUGCGUAGGUGGUCUUUUAAGUCCGUUGUGAAAGCCCUGGGCUCAACCUGGGAAUGGCAGUGGAUACUGGAAGGCUGGAGUACGGUAGAGGAGGGUGGAAUUCCCGGUGUAGUGGUGGAAUGCGUAGAUAUCGGGAGGAACACCAGUGGCGAAGGCGGUUGCCUGGAGCUUUGCUGACGCUGAUGCGCGAAAGCGUGGGGAGCGAUCCGG
rnacentral:rRNA from 1 species